AUUUCAUUAGAUGGGUGGGAGGGAAACUAAACUUUAAGGCUUAAAUUGUUAAGAAAUUUCACGAUCUAAUCAGAAUUCCACUUUAAGGCUUUAAUGAAAAAAAGAAAACAUAUAAACCAAUUAAGGGGAAAGGAAAACCCAAAAAUAAAUAGAGACCAGAUCGCACAAUUACAGGCACAGAUAUUAAGAAACAGAUAGAUACAAAACAAAUAGAACAGUGAAACACAUCUAGAUCUUAGAACCUCAACAACCAAUUAUACACCAUAAUCAAGCAUCAAAA
rnacentral:misc_RNA from 1 species